rnacentral:rRNA from 1 species
CUAUACAUGCAGUCGAGCGAACAGAUAAGGAGCUUGCUCCUUUGACGUUAGCGGCGGACGGGUGAGUAACACGUGGGUAACCUACCUAUAAGACUGGAAUAACUCCGGGAAACCGGGGCUAAUGCCGGAUAACAUUUAGAACCGCAUGGUUCUAAAGUGAAAGAUGGUUUUGCUAUCACUUAUAGAUGGACCCGCGCCGUAUUAGCUAGUUGGUAAGGUAACGGCUUACCAAGGCAACGAUACGUAGCCGACCUGAGAGGGUGAUCGGCCACACUGGAACUGAGACACGGUCCAGACUCCUACGGGAGGCAGCAGUAGGGAAUCUUCCGCAAUGGGCGAAAGCCUGACGGAGCAACGCCGCGUGAGUGAUGAAGGUCUUCGGAUCGUAAAACUCUGUUAUUAGGGAAGAACAAAUGUGUAAGUAACUGUGCACGUCUUGACGGUACCUAAUCAGAAAGCCACGGCUAACUACGUGCCAGCAGCGGCCGGUAAUAA